UACGUAGGGGGCAAGCGUUGUCCGGAAUCAUUGGGCGUAAAGAGCGUGUAGGCGGUUCGGUAAGUCGGCUGUGAAAGUCGAGGGCUCAACCCUCGAAUGCCGGCGGAUACUGCCGGGCUAGAAUCCGGAAGAGGCGAGUGGAAUUCCUGGUGUAGCGGUGAAAUGCGCAGAUAUCAGGAGGAACACCAAUGGCGAAGGCAGCUCGCUGGGACGGUAUUGACGCUGAGACGCGAAAGCGUGGGGAGCAAACAGG
rnacentral:rRNA from 1 species